rnacentral:rRNA from 1 species
GGCUUCGGCCGGGAGUACUUGGCGCAGGGGUGAGUAAUGUAUAGGUAAUCUGCCCUUUGGACUGGGAUAACCCCGAGAAAUCGGGGACAAUACCAGAUGAUGCAGCGGAACCGCAUGGUUAUGUUGUUAAAGAUUUAUCGCCAAAGGAUGAACCUAUAUCCCAUCAGGUAGUUGGUAAGGUAACGGCUUACCAAGCCUACGACGGGUAGCUGGUCUGAGAGGAUGAUCAGCCACAUUGGAACUGAGACACGGUCCGGACUCCUACGGGAGGCAGCAGUGAGGAAUAUUGCGCAAUGGGCGAAAGCCUGACGCAGCAACGCCGCGUGGAUGAUGAAGUUCUUCGGAAUGUAAAGUCCUUUUGUAGAGGAAGAAGAUCUUGGUUUACCAGGACUGACGGUACUCUACGAAUAAGCCACGGCUAACUCUGUG